rnacentral:rRNA from 1 species
UACGUAGGGUGCAAGCGUUGUCCGGAAUUAUUGGGCGUAAAGAGCUCGUAGGCGGUCUGUCGCGUCGGCUGUGAAAACCCGAGGCUCAACCUCGGGCCUGCAGUCGAUACGGGCAAACUAGAGUACUGCAGGGGAGACUGGAAUUCCUGGUGUAGCAGGUGAAAUGACGUAGAUAUCGUAAGGAAGACCAGUGGCGAAGGCGGGUCUCUGGACAGU